rnacentral:rRNA from 1 species
UACAGAGGGUGCGAGCGCUGUCCGGAAUCACUGGGCGUAAAGGGCGCGUAGGCGGUCCGCUAAGUGUGUGGUGAAAGCCCGGGGCUCAACCCCGGGAGGCGGGUGGAUACUGUCAAGCUCGAGUCCGGAAGAGGAGUGUGGAAUUCCUGGUGUAGCGGUGAAAUGCGCAGAUAUCAGGAGGAACACCAAUGGCGAAGGCGGCUCUCUGGGACGGUACUGACGCUGAGACGCGAAAGCGUGGGGAGCGAACAGG